UAAGUUCGAUGCUCGUUUUCA
ensembl:piRNA 21ur-2519 ncRNA